rnacentral:rRNA from 1 species
CCUACGGGAGGCAGCAGUAAGGAAUAUUGGUCAAUGGAGGCAACUCUGAACCAGCCAUGCCGCGUGAAGGAUUAAGGCCCUCUGGGUUGUAAACUUCUUUUAUAUGGGAAGAAAUGUUCUGAUUCUUCAGAGCUUGACGGUACCAUAGGAAUAAGCACCGGCUAACUCCGUGCCAGCAGCCGCGGUAAU